UGACCCAGGAACCAGGUCGGUCAUUUGGGCCUGGAACAUCCAAGGCCCUCCCUCCAUAAGCACUUUCCAGUCCUGUAAAGGCUAAUUCAAGGUCAAGCGAGUCCCAGACCCUACCAGGAAUUAUUGGAGCCACAGCAGCCAUCUUGUAGCCAUGAGAGCGAAUUUCGUAGCUGAAGAUGGUGGACAGGAGGUGAGACUCUGAAGCUUCCAGGCAAUGCUGAACAGCGACCCAGGCUGCCUUUGUCUAGACUUCUCGUUAGAAUUGUGGAUAGCUACACAUUAAAACAGUGUACCUGAAUGAUUAAUCUGUGAUGUUAUUCCAGGGACUUGAUAACAACAAAUACUGAAUAUAUACUUUAAAAAAUAGUAAUACCAAAAAAGAAAAGUAAUACCUGCAUAAGACCACCCAGAGAGAGAACAAAAUGACUUAGCUGUUUAUAAGUAUUUACUGUAUGAUUAAGUUGAUAGGUCAGUAGGGAUAUACUAAUUCAAUCAUUGGUUAAAUAUUUGAAAAAAAAAAGAUAAAAUUCAAUUCUGAUGGAUCAAAAACCUCAAGGAUUUUUUUUUUA